rnacentral:rRNA from 1 species
AUUGAACGCUAGCGGGAUGCUUUACACAUGCAAGUCGAACGAGUGGCGGACGGGUGAGUAAUAUAUCGGAACGUGCCUCGUAGCGGGGGAUAACUACUCGAAAGUGUAGCUAAUACCGCCUACCAUUGGAUCGGCCCAUAUUGGAUUAGCUAGUUGGUGGGGUAAAGGCUCACCAAGGCCACGAUCCUUAGCUGGUUUGAGAGGACGACCAGCCACACGGGGACUGAGACACGGCCCAGACUCCUACGGGAGGCAGCAGUGGGGAAUAUUGGACAAUGGGGGAAACCAUGAUCCAGCCAUCCCGCGUGAAUGAGAAGGCCUUCGGGUUGUAAAGUACUUUUGGCAGAGAAGCGGUAUCUGCAGAAGAAGCACCGGCUAACUACGUGCCAGCAGCCGCGGUAAUAC